GUCAUUUAAAGAAUGAGGGUCAGCAUGACGUAAAAAAAAAAAAAAAAAAAAAACCAGAGGAGCCUGCUGAAGAUGAGGCCAUUACGGCUCGCCUUUAGGUGUCCUCCUCGGGAUAGGGUCAUUUAAAGAAC